UACGAAGGGGGCUAGCGUUGCUCGGAAUCACUGGGCGUAAAGGGCGCGUAGGCGGACUUUUAAGUCGGAGGUGAAAGCCCAGGGCUCAACCCUGGAAUUGCCUUCGAUACUGGGAGUCUUGAGUUCGGAAGAGGUUGGUGGAACUGCGAGUGUAGAGGUGAAAUUCGUAGAUAUUCGCAAGAACACCGGUGGCGAAGGCGGCCAACUGGACCAUUACUGACGCUGAGGCGCGAAAGCGUGGGGAGCAAACAGG
rnacentral:rRNA from 1 species